rnacentral:rRNA from 1 species
UUCCAGACUCCUACGGGAGGCAGCAGUGAGGAAUAUUGGUCAAUGGGCGUAAGCCUGAACCAGCCAAGUCGCGUGAGGGACGACGGCCCUACGGGUUGUAAACCUCUUUUGCCGGGGGACAAACGGCGGCACGCGUGCCGUCCUGAGGGUACCCGGAGAAAAAGCAUCGGCUAACUCCGUGCCAGCAGCCGCGGUAAUACGGAGGAUGCGAGCGUUAUCCGGAUUUAUUGGGUUUAAAGGGUGCGUAGGCGGGGUGCCAGGUCGGCGGGCAAAUCCGGGGGCUCAACCUGCGUCCGCCGUUGAAACUGGCGUUCUUGAGUGGGCGAGAAGUACGCGGAAUGCGUGGUGUAGCGGUGAAAUGCAUAGAUAUCACGCAGAACUCCGAUUGCGAAGGCAGCAUACCGGCGCUCAACUGACGCUCAUGCACGAAAGUGUGGGUAUCGAACAGGAUUAGAUACCCUCGUA